UACGUAGGGGGCAAGCGUUGUCCGGAUUUAUUGGGCGUAAAGAGCGUGUAGGCGGCCAGGUAGGUCCGUUGUGAAAACUAGAGGCUCAACCUCUAGACGUCGAUGGAAACCAUCUGGCUAGAGUCCGGAAGAGGAGAGUGGAAUUCCUGGUGUAGCGGUGGAAUGCGCAGAUAUCAGGAGGAACACCAACGGCGAAGGCAGCUCGCUGGGACGGUACUGACGCUAAGGCGCGAAAGCGUGGGGAGCGAACAGG
rnacentral:rRNA from 1 species